UACAGAGGGUGCAAGCGUUGCUCGGAAUCAUUGGGCGUAAAGGGUAGGUAGGUGGUCUCGUUUGUCUGGGGUGAAAGCCCAGGGCUUAACCCUGGAAGUGCCCCGGAAACGGCGAGACUGGAGUCUUGGAGAGGAGACUGGAAUUCAUGGUGUAGCAGUGAAAUGCGUAGAGAUCAUGAGGAAGACCAGUGGCGAAGGCGGGUCUCUGGACAGUUCCUGACACUGAGGCACGAAGGCCAGGGGAGCAAACGGG
rnacentral:rRNA from 1 species